CCAAACGAUACUUCAGGUCGUAUUGCUCGCAACUUUUGACAAAAUUCUAUUACGCUUGCUCUAUUAUGACGUCUUUUCAUACGUUUUAAGAUCAUAUCGUCACCUGAUUGUACACUAAUAUGAAAAUGUGGCAUUAUCCUCUCACUAUAAGCUAUAAGCUCAAAAAGUUCAUCAUCUAUUUCAGCUAUAUCUAUCGAAGACAAACGCAUCCUUUUUAGCUCAGGCACUAACUUUAAAACUCGUUUAAUCAUUUGUGCAAAUGUUGGACUG
rnacentral:sRNA from 1 species